rnacentral:rRNA from 1 species
CCUACGGGAGGCAGCAGUGGGGAAUAUUGCACAAUGGGGGAAACCCUGAUGCAGCAACGCCGCGUGAGUGAAGAAGUAUUUCGGUAUGUAAAGCUCUAUCAGCCGGGAAGAAAAUGACAGUAACUGACUAAGAAGCCCCGGCUAACUACGUGCCAGCAGCCGCGGUAAUACGUAGGGGGCAAGCGUUAACCGGAUUUACUGGGUGGAAAGGGAGCGUAGACGGCUGCGCAAGUCAGAAGGGAAAGCCCGGGGCUCAACCGCGGGACUGCUUUUGAAACUGUGUAGCUAGAGUGCAGGAGAGGUAAGUGGAAUUCCUAGUGUAGCGGUGAAAUGCGUAGAUAUUAGGAGGAACACCGGUGGCGAAGGCGGCUUACUGGACUGUAACUGACGUUGAGGCUCGAAAGCGUGGGGAGCAAACAGGAUUAGAUACCCGGGUAGUC